rnacentral:rRNA from 1 species
GACGUAGGGCGCGAGCGUUGUCCGGAUUUAUUGGGCGUAAAGAGCUCGUAGGCGGCUUGUCGCGUCGUUCGUGAAAACUUGGGGCUCAACCCCAAGCUUGCGGUCGAUACGGGCAGGCUAGAGUUCGGUAGGGGAGACUGGAAUUCCUGGUGUAGCGGUGAAAUGCGCAGAUAUCAGGAGGAACACCGGUGGCGAAGGCGGGUCUCUGGGCCGAUACUGACGCUGAGGAGCGGAAGCGUGGGGAGCGAACAGG